AUAAAUACUUGAAAUAAAGAACUCCAUUUAAAUAAUUAAUUUAAAGGUCAAUAUAUAAUUAAAUUAAUCAAGCUCAAUUUAAAUUAAUAAUUAAGAGCUCAAAUAAUUUAAAUAGAUAUAAGCCCAAAUUAAUUAGAUAAAUUAAGUCUAUCAUGUUUUUCUUUGAAUAAGGCCCAAACAAUUAAAUUAAAGAAGCCCAAAUCCUAUAAAUAAAAGAAGCCCAUCAGAUUUUUAUUUAAAAGGGCCGAGCCCAACAGAUAUUGAAGCCCAAACAUUUAAAAUCUAAGCCCAUCAAUUAAUUAAAUAAGGGCCCAAACACUUAAUAAAAUCGGCCCAAGUCUCGGCCCAACAAUUAAUAAAUUCGGCCCAAUUCUUAACCUAAAUAUACACACACAAUUACACACUCAAACACACACAUUCAGCCUCACCCUCUCAUCUCUCUCUCUCUCGGACUCCCUCUGUCCGCCUGCCGUUCAACGCGGCCGCCACCGCCGCCGCCGCCGCCGGCGAGCGGCGCGGCUGCUGCCUCUCGCUCCUCCCCUGAACUCUCGUCCUCUCUCACCCUCUCGCCUCUAUCUAUCUAUCUGCCGUACACAGGACGCACGCCGCUGUCAAAGCGGUGCGCCGCCGCCGGUGCCUCCGUCGUCCUCGCGGCAGAUCCGCUACCGCGUCAAGACCACGGCCACCGCCUUUCCUCCCCUCCCUCUAUCUCUCUCUCUCUCCCGUCUCAAUUCUUUCCCUGGAAACAGACGCACGGACACAGCCCCUGAUGUGCCGCCGCCUCCUUUCCUUCGCCGGUGGGCUCACGGCCAGGAGCCGUCGAUCGCCGACAGCCAGGUAAACCCUAACUUCUUUCAUUUUCCCCUUCUUUCCUUUUUAGAUUAAAACUGAAAACUCCUCUCUCUCUCUUUUGAUUUGGCUGAAUCGGAGCAACGGCGACGUCACGGCUGUCACGUUACCGCCGCCGCCGCCGACGACGAGCCACCAUGGCUCCGCCGCUGACCGCCGUCUGAAAACAGAUCGGAAGCCACCGCGGCUCCGUCGCCGUCCGUUGACCGCCGGCAACGACGAGUCACCAAGGCUGCCGCCUCCCUCUGAUCUCGACUCACACACACAAGGCAGGGUCAGCCCCCCCCCUUCAAAGGUUUCAAGCCUCAAAUUCAGUCGAACACUUAGCACAUAGGAUUUGAGCAAAAAUCAAAUACUGUAAAUUUCAGUUCAUACGUUAAUACAUGUAAAUUUUUCUUUUGGAUCAUUCUCGUUUGGUGGUUCUCUGAUAUAUUGGAUAAAAGGGGAAUACCUUGAAUAGGUGUGGUGGAAGAUAUUUAUUUCUGCAGAUUUUGUUUAUCA